GACGCGCGGUUGGAUGAGCAUUGGCCCGGACAGCUAAAGGUCCCGGGUUCAAGCCCCGGCUGCGUCA